UAAGGUCGAAAGGUCAGUGGGCUAGGCCCAACUCGGGAUCAACCGAGUUGGCCCAAAAAAAUAAAAAACGAAUUAAGGCCCAAAGGAGAGGGGUGGCCGGCCAUCUUAUGGCCCAAGCCCACAAAAUUAAUAAAUUUCCCAUGUGAUAAUUAAUAUAAAGGAUCAUUAAAUUGUCUUGAAACAUUUAGAAGUUUCAAGACAAUUGAGAAAGAGAGAAACAAGAGAAAGAAGAGCAAGAAUAAGAAGGCCAUUUUCGGCCAAGCUCUAGACCAAAAAAAAAAAAAAAAUUUUUUUUUUUUCAAAAAUCAUUUUCUACCAAUUAAAGGGUCCUUUACAACUUGGUGUAAUUAUUUUGGAAGGAAGAACACUUGUUUCUUCAAGUUGACAACUUGGUCAAGUGAAGAAGAUUGUAGAAAAAGAUUUUGGCGAACUUGAAACUUGAUUUUGGAGACGUGUAUGAAUCGGAAAAGGUCAACAGGUAGACAGAUUUGACUCUUAGAAGCUCCAUCAGCAGUACUGUGGCAGCGCUCCAGUUGUUCCGGAGCCUCAGUUUCUUGGUACUACUUUUGUGUACAUAUUCGGGCACGGUAGAACCGGUCCUUCUUGUAUAUGUAGAUGUACUUUGUUUAGAGGCUCGUAGAUAGAUAUGUACAGUCAGAUGUUUUGUACUUUUGUGGUCCUCGUCGUUGUGUAAUGUGCUAGCA